AAGUCGUAACAAGGUAUCCUUCCGCGAACCUAGGAAGCCUUUGCUAAGAGCGACUAUAAACAAGUUCAGCAAGUAGCCACCUGGCUGCAACAUGAUCGAAGUGCGGGGAUCUCCUAAAGCCUACGAUACCACCUCUGGAGGGAAACCUCUGGAGUACGGUCAUAAUUCGUUGGGAUGCUACAAUGGACUAUCCGCAGCGAAGCCCCUAACAGCUGCACCAGCUCACGGGGAACGUUCACAGACUAAGUGAUUAUGGGUUGGGGUCAUCGUGAUCCUGCUUAAGAUAUAGUCGGGCUAUCGAGGAGACUCGAUAGGGUGUUUCGCACUGAACCGUUCCGUAGGUGAACCUGCGGAAGGAUCAUUACAGAGUUCAUGCCCGAAAGGGUAGACCUCCCACCCUUGUGUAUUAUUACUUUGUUGCUUUAGCGAGCACCCGCAAGGGGCUCGCUAAAGGAUAAUCAAACUCUUUUUUAUUUUUGUCGUCUGAGUACUAUAUAAUAGUUAAAA
rnacentral:misc_RNA from 1 species